CGUACUGCUCAGUAACACGUGGAUAACCUGCCCUUGGGACCGGCAUAACCCCGGGAAACUGGGGAUAAUUCCGGAUAACGCAUAUUUGCUGGAAUGCUUUAUGCGUCAAAAGGAUUCGUCUGCCCAAGGAUGGGUCUGCGGCCUAUCAGGUAGUAGUGGGUGUAAUGUACCUACUAGCCAGCGACGGGUACGGGUUGUGAGAGCAAGAGCCCGGAGAUGGAUUCUGAGACAUGAAUCCAGGCCCUACGGGGCGCAGCAGGCGCGAAAACUUUACAAUGCGGGAAACCGUGAUAAGGGGACACCGAGUGCCAGCAUCAUAUGCUGGCUGUCCGGAUGUGUAAAAUACAUCCGUUAGCAAGGGCCGGGCAAGACCGGUGCCAGCCGCCGCGGUAACACCGGCGGCCCGAGUGGUGAUCGUGAUUAUUGGGUCUAAAGGGUCCGUAGCCGGUUUGGUCAGUCCUCCGGGAAAUCUGAUAGCUCAACUAUUAGGCUUUCGGGGGAUACUGCCAGACUUGGAACCGGGAGAGGUAAGAGGUACUACAGGGGUAGGAGUGAAAUCUUGUAAUCCCUGUGGGACCACCUGUGGCGAAGGCGUCUUACCAGAACGGGUUCGACGGUGAGGGACGAAAGCUGGGGGCACGAACCGGAUUAGAUACCCGGGUAGUCCCAGCCGUAAACGAUGCUCGCUAGGUGUCAGGCAUGGCGCGACCGUGUCUGGUGCCGCAGGGAAGCCGUG
rnacentral:rRNA from 1 species